rnacentral:rRNA from 1 species
GACGAACGCUGGCGGCGUGCUUAACACAUGCAAGUCGAACGGAAAGGCCCUGCUUUUGUGGGGUGCUCGAGUGGCGAACGGGUGAGUAACACGUGAGUAACCUGCCCUUGACUUUGGGAUAACUUCAGGAAAAUGGGGCUAAUACCGGAUAGGAGCUCCUGCUGCAUGGUGGGGGUUGGAAAGUUUCGGCGGUUGGGGAUGGACUAGAGGCUUAUGAGCUUGUUGGUGGGGUAGUUGCUUACCAAGGCUUUGACGGGUAGCCGGCCUGAGAGGGGGACCGGCGACAUUGGGACUGAGAGACGGCGCAGACUGCUACGGGAGGCAGCAGUGGGGAAUAUGGCAGAAUGGGCGGAAGCCUGAGGCAGCAACGCCGCGUGCGGGAUGACGGCUUUCGGGGUGUAAACCGCUUUCGCCUGUGACGAAGCGGGCGUGACGGUAACGGGUAAAGAAGCAACGGCUAACUACGUG